rnacentral:lncRNA from 1 species
AUUAAGUAUUUUGAGAAUGUAACCAAAUUUAAAUAUUUAUUUAAGUUCUUAAGAAUUAACUAAAAGUUAUUAGAAACCCACUAAUUGGACUUCAAAUAAUUGAAAUGGCAUAGAUGAGUUCAACGAUUCCUCGUCGAUGUGAGAUUGUAAGAUAGUAUGAAGAGUAUUGGUGGAAUCCAGUGCAUGAUAUGGGCCGACAUAUUGAAGAGAUGUUAGUAAGGUGGAAGGAGGUGAGGCAACUAGGCCAUAUGAUCACUGGUCGUGAGGCUACCUGCCUCCUUAUUGAUACCUUGCUAGAAGAAUGGCUACAAGUGGUCGAAUCGAUUAAUAAUUAUUUAUGGACAGUUGCUAUGCCAACCUUGCCUCGAGAGAUUGAAUAUGAGGUCUUCUGUGCAGAGCUGACGGUACAGUGGGGACAGGCCUGAGAUGAUGCACUUGCAAACCCUGAGGAGAAUAGUUUACCUACUUAGAUGUACAUUCAUGAAGAUGCACCUCCACCUUUUUUAGACGAUGAGGCGUAGCCUUCCAAGAAACCUAGAUUUUAUGAAGACUGGAUUAGUGACGAUGAUGGCGAGGAUGAGUAGUGAUGUCUUAGUAGAUUUUAUUAGGUUUAGUUCUUGUUUAUGUCAAGUAAGAUUUAUUUUGCUUUCCAGUUGAUUUGCGUCGAACACUCUUUUAUUAUUUUGUAUUUCUCUUAAUUAUGUUAUCAUUUACCUUUUUCGCUUGAUUAUGUUAAAAUAUAUUUAUUGCUCAUUAGUGAAAAUGUCAAGGUUUUAUUUUCG